rnacentral:rRNA from 1 species
AUUGAACGCUGGCGGCAUGCUUUACACAUGCAAGUCGAACGGCAGCGCGGGCUUCGGCCUGGCGGCGAGUGGCGAACGGGUGAGUAAUACAUCGGAACGUGCCCAGUAGUGGGGGAUAGCUCGGCGAAAGCCGGAUUAAUACCGCAUACGACCUGAGGGUGAAAGCGGGGGAUCUUCGGACCUCGCGCUAUUGGAGCGGCCGAUGGCAGAUUAGCUAGUUGGUGGGGUAAAGGCCUACCAAGGCGACGAUCUGUAGCUGGUCUGAGAGGACGACCAGCCACACUGGGACUGAGACACGGCCCAGACUCCUACAGGAGGCAGCAGUGGGGAAUUUUGGACAAUGGGCGAAAGCCUGAUCCAGCAAUGCCGCGUGUGUGAUGAAGGCCUUCGGGUUGUAAAGCACUUUUGGCGGGAACGAAAAGGACUGUGCCAAUACCACGGUUCGAUGACGGUACCCGCAGAAUAAGCACCGGCUAACUACGUG